CCUCCACCAUGAAACGAGCCUCCUGCCUCAGCCUCCCAUAUGCAGGGUUGACAGAGUUGUGAAACCGAAGAUCAGAUGGAGCCCCAGUUAAGGAGCAAAGAUUCUGCUCUUGGCCAAGAGUAAGGGAAAUGGGAGAUGACGUCGCCGAUCUGCUUCCCACCCGUUGGUGUCGGGUCCCGCGGGGGAACGCGAUCCUGCUGUGUCACGGAGCUGUCACCGCGCCCAGAGUUGGCCAGUCCCACACAGCCAAGUUUCAGCCAAUCAUACACAGUUGAAUGGACAGACCACACCCACCGUGACAAGCACCGCAGAGCCAAUCAGAAGAUUUCUCUACUUUGUUUCCGGUUUGGCCCAGUAGAGCCAAACAGCCCCUUCUGUUGCUUCCCGAAAGCACUGAAUGUUUUCUGGUUCUGAGUGCUGCC
rnacentral:lncRNA from 1 species